rnacentral:rRNA from 1 species
CGCGUAGGCGGCUUAUCAAGUCGGGCGUGAAAUCUCCGGGCUUAACCUGGAAAAGUCGUUCGAUACUGUUGAGCUAGAGUGUGGAAGAGGCAACUAGAAUUCCGUGUGUAGCGGUGAAAUGCGUAGAUAUACGGAGGAAUACCUGAGGCGAAGGCGGGUUGCUGGGCCAACACUGACGCUGAGGCGCGAAAGCCAGGGAGCAAACG